rnacentral:rRNA from 1 species
CUGGCGGCAGGCCUAACACAUGCAAGUCGAGCGGAUGAGUGGAGCUUGCUCCAUGAUUCAGCGGCGGACGGGUGAGUAAUGCCUAGGAAUCUGCCUGGUAGUGGGGGACAACGUUUCGAAAGGAACGCUAAUACCGCAUACGUCCUACGGGAGAAAGUGGGGGAUCUUCGGACCUCACGCUAUCAAAUGAGCCUAGGUCGGAUUAUCUAGUUGGCGAGGUAAAGGCUCACCAAGGCGACGAUCCGUAACUGGCCUGAAAGGAUGAUCAGUCACACUGGAACUGAGACACGGUCCAGACUCCUACGGGAAGCAGCAGCGGGGAAUAUUGGACAAUGGGCGAAAGCCUGAUCCAACCAAUCGAAUUCCUGCAGCCCGGGGGAUCCACUAAUUCUAGAGCGGGCGCCACCGGGGGUUGAAC